rnacentral:tRNA from 1 species
GGUUAUAGCUCAGCGGUAGAGCACUCGCCUUACACGUGCAAGGCCCUGGGUUCGAUCCUCAGCACCA